rnacentral:misc_RNA from 1 species
GAUGAAGAACGCAGCGAAAUGCGAUAAGUAGUGUGAAUUGCAGAAUUCAGUGAAUCAUCGAAUCUUUGAACGCACAUUGCGCCCCUUGGUAUUCCAUGGGGCAUGCCUGUUCGAGCGUCAUUUGUACCUUCAAGCUUUGCUUGGUGUUGGGUGUUUGUCUCGCCUCUGCGUGUAGACUCGCCUCAAAACAAUUGGCAGCCGGCGUAUUGAUUUCGGAGCGCAGUACAUCUCGCGCUUUGCACUCAUAACGACGACGUCCAAAAGUACAUUUUUACACUCUUGACCUCGGAUCAGGUAGGGAUACCCGCUGAACUUAAGCAUAUCAAAAGCGGAGGA